rnacentral:lncRNA from 1 species
AUGCCUAUUGCAGCUUCCUUCUCUCUCCUGCGCAGUUCAUCAUCAAGCUGCCCCUACACAAAACUUCCUUUGCUCUUCCCUCAGAAUCCCUCAGCCCGCCAAUCAUUAGAAGAGCCAACGUCAAACUACAUUUCCCAGAAUCCCAUGCAUCCACGUCUUCCAGUCUUUUCUUACCUGCAAGGAAGUUGGUCUGAAUACCUAAUUACCUUCUUGUACACCACAGUGCCACCACAAGUGAGGAAAAACAAGUUUUUUGAAUGACCCCAAGUUUCUCUCAGAAACAAAGGUCCAUCUUUUGGGGAUACCAAUGUUCUUCUGAUAACGUUGUAUGACAAAUGGUCUAAUCAAAUGUCUCUAAGGAAUUGAAGUGGAGGAUCAUCCAAGGACAACGGAAAGGCUCAUGACAGGCACAUUACAUUACAAACAAAGAAUUUUUAAAAAGAAGUGGUAUCAAGGAUGCCAUUACAAAAAAAAAAUCUGUUCCUGUCACAUGAUGGGAUAAUUGAUGGACCACUUACAUUCUCUACUGGCAACCUUACUUGAUGUCAAAAGAUUUGGAGGAAGAUUCCUCCCCCACUCCAAUGCAUUGGGUGCAACCCCUGUGAUGGAUCUGUUGGAGGACAUGGACCAAGGUUCUGCAGAAUUGGCAGACAAAGAUAAUUGGAGAUAUGCAUCUUUGUAAAGAGGAUUCACUUUGAAAAGAAUACAGAUUUAAUUUGCACAGAAUAGAUUAAGUCACAUAUUGGAUUAUGACUGUUAUUGUAUAAUGGGGUCUGGUACAUUCAGAAAUAAUAUCACAGCUUGGUCAGCUGAUACGAUUUCUCUGUGUGUGGAAUGCUAAGAGAACUAUAUUCAGAAGAAACAAAAUAGUAUGUAAAAUUUCAGUCUUUCCCACCACCCUUAUUUUCCCCCAUUGCUCACUUUCUGACUCCCUCUUUUCCAAUAGUGUUUUCCCAAGAGGCUGAAUUUCCAAGAAUCUCAGAUUCUUCCCAUGCUGGGCAAUUCACGGUUCACUAGUUUGAAUCUCUGCUCUGAGUGACUUUUAGGGGGACAGAAUUGGGCCCAGCUGAAUGUCAGAGUUCUUCACUCAGACUUAAUGGAGUGUGCUCCACAGAUCUCUUAUACAUGGUAUCUUGUCCCCUUCCCUCAAUUCUCUAGCCCAGUGGUUCAGAGCACUAUCAUGACUGUGCUAUUAUAACCCAGGCAGAUUUCUGACAUUGGGAAUUUGCAUCUCAGAGAAUCUGGAAAGAGGAGGCAAGAU